UUGAUUUCCAUAACUCUCCGGUCCACGUUACAGAGCCAAGCAUUUCCUCCCAAAUCCUCACCAAAAUUAACCGAAAAAUCUCUCAAUUCAUGAAGCACAACAAAAAAUACCCAAAUUAAAACUCAUUUCAUGAAAUCUUAGCGACUAACUACGAUGAAAAUUGUGUCAAUUAACAAAUCUACAAUAUACAUUUCAUAUAUUUGCAAAUCUACCAUUUAUAUUUCACAGAUCUGCGACUUGAAUCUUGAAACUAAGCAAGGAAAACUUAAAUAUGCACCGAGGAAACUUGAACACAGAAUGAAAGAAAGUAGAUGCAGCGAACCAGCGAGGAACUGAAUCACAAGGGAAAAGGACUCGGUUGGUUGCAUGAUGCGACAAUGUCGGAAAGAAGGAACUGAGGAAAAAGGCGAUGACUCAGUCGAUGACUCUACAGCUUACAGCUUAGGUGAAGGCUAUAUUCGAGAGUAAAGGAACUAAAGAAGAAGAAGAAGAAGGAACGAAGAAGUGCUGAAAAAGAAGAUCAGAUUGAGGAGGAAGGGACGCGCUGGGAGUUGUUGGCAGUCUUGCAACGGUCGG
rnacentral:misc_RNA from 1 species